AUUCCAGCUCCAAUAGCGUAUAUUAAAGUUGUUGCAGUUAAAAAGCUCGUAGUUGGAUUUCUGAUUGAGACAUCAGGUCGGGUCCGAGAGGAUCAUGUACUUUGAUUUGUUUUGAUCAUCCUUGGGGAGAGCAAUUCUGGCAUUAAGUUGUCGGGGUUGGGAUCCUCAUCGUUUACUGUGAAAAAAUUAGAGUGUUCAAAGCAGGCCUCGGCCUCUGAAUACAUUAGCAUGGAAUAAUAAGAUAGGACUUUGGUGGUCUAUUUUGUUGGUUUGCACGCCAAAGUAAUGAUUAAUAGGGAUAGUUGGGGGUAUUCGUAUUCAAUUGUCAGAGGUGAAAUUCUUGGAUUUAUGGAAGACGAACUACUGCGAAAGCAUUUACCAAGGAUGUUUUCAUCG
rnacentral:rRNA from 1 species